GUAGCAAACACAACAGAGCCCUUCUCCACCAGCACAGCCACAGCAAGCCCACACUCUCCCUGACUUCAAAAUGGUUUUGCAUCAGGACCAUGUGGUGGUUUAAACUUAAUUCGAUGGACUGGUUGCUAAACAAAUUAAAAAGUUGGUACCGCCUCUGCAAUUCACAUAUUUGAAGGAAGACCAAGCACAGGAAGUUCCUUUUGUUCCUGUUUCCCCGCCGGGAUGGCGAAGCGGGGGGCCCAAGCCCCGCGGUGCAGCAGCGCAGGGCCGAGCCGCGGGGGAAAGCCGCGCCGGCUCCGCAAGCAGCCAUGACCAGCCUUAAACAGCAGCGCAGCCGGAACCGCGCAGCGCGGCUCCUGGGGCCGCUGGGCCCCUUCCACGCAGCCAGCGCGGCUCGUGUCGAACCGAGCAAAAACAUGCAGCCUACAACAGCGAGUUUUCCCCAGAGCAGAGCCUGGACAAGAGACAAGAUCAACUUCUUAGCCGCAACUUAACAGGCACCAGCUUUCUUCCAGCUCAGAGAGAAAGGAAAAGCGAGAUCAUGUGAGAUGAAGCCAACAUGGCGGCGCCAAGCAGAUUCCAGGCAGACUGUUGUUUGUGAAAGUUUGAACCGCCCUAGAGAAAUUCGCAGAGAGCUGUCUCCCGUGGGAAGGAACGCACAGCACAGCAGAAGAAACUCUUUGCCUUAAACACAGGGAAAGACUCUUAAGAAAUGAAACUGUCAAACUCCCAUGUUUGUUUCCCUUGUGCAGGUUGGUGGAAAGAGGGAGGUACUAGAAGGGAAAGGUAUUCUGGGAGUUUGCUUUAAUUUCAUAUUUUUUUUUUUUUUACUUUUAAUUCUGUUAGUAAUGAAUUUUCUUAUAGUACAACUCUUUAAGUGUGGAACUGUUUUGCCUUGAAGUUUUUCCGUUUUCCUCAAUAGUCCUCAUUUCACCUUGUUUUGUAUGUGGUGCUUGGCACCUAACCAACGUCAAACCAUGACACUGUGCUAUGCUUUGGGACAUCAAAUUUUGUUUUACACAUCUUCAGAAAGCUCCUGUCUAAUUCGAGCCAUUUGAUACCAUCAGAACUUGGCCCUUCUUUUAUGACAAACCAAUCACAAAAAGAGUUUUCACGUCUCAAUUGUAAAGCAGUCUGCAGGAAAUUAGCUGUAAAAGAGACAGGAGGCUUUUGUGGCACAGCUGAAAGCUUAUGAAAAACAAAUUACAGAAGAAACAUUUUUAAUAGACAUGCUUAAUGUUUUUAUUGGUGAGAAUGCUGAAGUGGCUGCCAAUUCAACUUUGCAUCCAAACUGUCAAACAUAAUUGCUUGUAUAUGUGACAUAAUAAAAAUCUCCAUUGUAAAAGCCUUAAGAACGCUAAGUAAUGUAACACUGGCUUUUACAGCAUUAAAAAGGAAUAAUAGA